AAGUGUUCUUGGCUAAGCUGAUUGAUAUCCAUUUAUUUUUUGAUGUACAUGAUCAAUAUGAUAAUUUGGUGCCAUUGUUACAAGACAUAUUUCUGGCAGUUGACUUGUAGUGUUACCACAUUUUAUCAAUGAACAAAGAAAAGGCACUAAUAAUCUUUACUGGUAUCCUGGAUGUGUUGUCUUAUCGUAGGAGCCAAGUUCAUUUAUGUGUUGUCUUUAGUAUGCAGAAUUUGAAAGCAGGCUUUGAAAAAUAGCACCAAGCUUGAGAUUACAAAAAGAUUCAAUUUACAACAAUUUUAUUAUCACAGUUUUGUCUGAAUACAUACGGAUGUUCGGUGAUUCUACAUGAUCGUGACUUUACUACAAUUUUAUUAUCACAGUUUUGUUUGGCUACAAUUUUUGAUGUCCACAAACUUAACACAGAAAAGGCAAUAAUGAUCUUUACUGGUAUCAAGUGAUUCUCACUAAAUGCCAUUGAUACAAGACAUCUUUCUUGCAUUUGACUUGUAGUGUUACCACAUUUUAUCAAUGAACAAAGAAAAGUCAUUAAUGAUCUAUACUGGUAUCCUGGUUGUGUUGUCUAAUCAUAGAAGCGAACUGGCCCACUUUGCUAAGUAAUAAGGACAGUUUAGUUACUUUAUGUGUUGCCUCUAGUAUGCAGAAUUUGAAAGAAGGCUUUAAAAUUUUCAAAUUGUAUGAUCAUAUUGUUGUUCGGUGUAUCUCCAUGAUAUUGACUUUUCUAGCUCUGCUGUUCGCGCCUCCCAGGACGCCGGCUGAGGAGACAAGUGCAAAAUACAACACCCCCGCCAAGACGCCAGACCUCGGCCUCCCUCUGGUUUUCAUGGACGCCGGUUGAGGAGACAAGUGCAAAAUACAACACCCCCGCCAAGACGCCAGACCUCGGCCUCCCUCUGGUUUCAUGGAUACUGAAGUCUCACUCAUGACGUAUGUGAGAUGGCCAUUUUGAAAGCACUACCAACUUGCAAUGAUAUGUGUGUAUUAGAUGUGAUGGGAGUAUGAGAUGCGAUGGGUGUAUGAGAUGUGAUGGCUGUAUGAGAUACAUAUAUUUCGUCGGCGUCUCCUCGAAAACGAUCAGCGCCGGAUCCUGGACGUGUUUGGCGGCGGUGGAUCAAUGCAUCAGCGUGCG